rnacentral:rRNA from 1 species
AGCGUACACGGUGGAUGCCCUGGCAGUCAGAGGCGAUGAAGGGCGUGCUAAUCUGCGAUAAGCGCCGGUAAGGUGAUAUGAACCGUUAUAACCGGCGAUACCCGAAUGGGGAAACCCAGUGUGAUUCGUCACACUAUCAUUAACUGAAUCCAUAGGUUAAUGAGGCGAACCGGGGGAACUGAAACAUCUAAGUACCCCGAGGAAAAGAAAUCAACCGAGAUUCCCCCAGUAGCGGCGAGCGAACGGGGAGGAGCCCAGAGCCUGAAUCAGCAUGUGUGUUAGUGGAAGCGUCUGGAAAGGCGCGCGAUACAGGGUGACAGCCCCGUACACAAAAGCGCAUGUGCUGUGAGCUCGAUGAGUAGGGCGGGACACGUGGUAUCCUGUCUGAAUAUGGGGGGACCAUCCUCCAAGGCUAAAUACUCCUGACUGACCGAUAGUGAACCAGUACCGUGAGGGAAAGGCGAAAAGAACCCCGGCGAGGGGAGUGAAAAAGAACCUGAAACCGUGUACGUACAAGCAGUGGGAGCCCCACCACUAAGCCAGUGGUGAACUCCACAUACGCAUCCUUUGCUGAAGGUGCGGUUAACGGAGCGCAAGCGACGUUCAACCUCAAAAGAAGCAGAGGGGGCUUAGUGGUGGGGUGACUGCGUACCUUUUGUAUAAUGGGUCAGCGACUUAUAUUCUGUAGCAAGGUUAACCGUAUAGGGGAGCCGGAGGGAAACCGAGUCUUAAUUGGGCGUUAAGUUGCAGGGUAUAGACCCGAAACCCGGUGAUCUAGCCAUGGGCAGGUUGAAGGUUGGGUAACACUAACUGGAGGACCGAACCGACUAAUGUUGAAAAAUUAGCGGAUGACCUGUGGCUGGGGGUGAAAGGCCAAUCAAACCGGGAGAUAGCUGGUUCUCCCCGAAAGCUAUUUAGGUAGCGCCUCGUGAAUUCAUCUCCGGGGGUAGAGCACUGUUUCGGCUAGGGGGCCAUCCCGGCUUACCAACCCGAUGCAAACUGCGAAUACCGGAGAAUGUUAUCACGGGAGACACACGGCGGGUGCUAACGUCCGUCGUGAAGAGGGAAACAACCCAGACCGCCAGCUAAGGUCCCAAAGUCAUGGUUAAGUGGGAAACGAUGUGGGAAGGCCCAGACAGCCAGGAUGUUGGCUUAGAAGCAGCCAUCAUUUAAAGAAAGCGUAAUAGCUCACUGGUCGAGUCGGCCUGCGCGGAAGAUGUAACGGGGCUAAACCAUGCACCGAAGCUGCGGCAGCGAACGUAUCACUUAAAGCGAUUCAGCGGGUUACGAUUGACGGAGCGAAGCGACGUCAAAGCGUAUACAAAGUCGAGUCGGUUUAAGGAUACGUUCGUUGGGUAGGGGAGCGUUCUGUAAGCCUGUGAAGGUGGCCUGUGAGGGUUGCUGGAGGUAUCAGAAGUGCGAAUGCUGACAUAAGUAACGAUAAAGCGGGUGAAAAGCCCGCUCGCCGGAAGACCAAGGGUUCCUGUCCAACGUUAAUCGGGGCAGGGUGAGUCGACCCCUAAGGCGAGGCCGAAAGGCGUAGUCGAUGGGAAACGGGUUAAUAUUCCCGUACUUGGUGUUACUGCGAAGGGGGGACGGAGAAGGCUAUGUUGGCCGGGCGACGGUUGUCCCGGUUUAAGCGUGUAGGUGUGUGUUCCAGGUAAAUCCGGUUCACUUUAACACUGAGGCGUGAUGACGAGGCACUACGGUGCUGAAGCAACAAAUGCCCUGCUUCCAGGAAAAGCCUCUAAGCAUCAGGUAACAUCAAAUCGUACCCCAAACCGACACAGGUGGUCAGGUAGAGAAUACCAAGGCGCUUGAGAGAACUCGGGUGAAGGAACUAGGCAAAAUGGUGCCGUAACUUCGGGAGAAGGCACGCUGACACGUAGGUGAAGUGAUUUACUCAUGGAGCUGAAGUCAGUCGAAGAUACCAGCUGGCUGCAACUGUUUAUUAAAAACACAGCACUGUGCAAACACGAAAGUGGACGUAUACGGUGUGACGCCUGCCCGGUGCCGGAAGGUUAAUUGAUGGGGUCAGCGCAAGCGAAGCUCCUGAUCGAAGCCCCGGUAAACGGCGGCCGUAACUAUAACGGUCCUAAGGUAGCGAAAUUCCUUGUCGGGUAAGUUCCGACCUGCACGAAUGGCGUAAUGAUGGCCAGGCUGUCUCCACCCGAGACUCAGUGAAAUUGAACUCGCUGUGAAGAUGCAGUGUACCCGCGGCAAGACGGAAAGACCCCGUGAACCUUUACUAUAGCUUGACACUGAACAUUGAGCCUUGAUGUGUAGGAUAGGUGGGAGGCUUUGAAGUGUGGACGCCAGUCUGCAUGGAGCCGACCUUGAAAUACCACCCUUUAAUGUUUGAUGUUCUAACGUGGACCCGUAAUCCGGGUUGCGGACAGUGUCUGGUGGGUAGUUUGACUGGGGCGGUCUCCUCCUAAAGAGUAACGGAGGAGCACGAAGGUUGGCUAAUCCUGGUCGGACAUCAGGAGGUUAGUGCAAUGGCAUAAGCCAGCUUGACUGCGAGCGUGACGGCGCGAGCAGGUGCGAAAGCAGGUCAUAGUGAUCCGGUGGUUCUGAAUGGAAGGGCCAUCGCUCAACGGAUAAAAGGUACUCCGGGGAUAACAGGCUGAUACCGCCCAAGAGUUCAUAUCGACGGCGGUGUUUGGCACCUCGAUGUCGGCUCAUCACAUCCUGGGGCUGAAGUAGGUCCCAAGGGUAUGGCUGUUCGCCAUUUAAAGUGGUACGCGAGCUGGGUUUAGAACGUCGUGAGACAGUUCGGUCCCUAUCUGCCGUGGGCGCUGGAGAACUGAGGGGGGCUGCUCCUAGUACGAGAGGACCGGAGUGGACGCAUCACUGGUGUUCGGGUUGUCAUGCCAAUGGCACUGCCCGGUAGCUAAAUGCGGAAGAGAUAAGUGCUGAAAGCAUCUAAGCACGAAACUUGCCCCGAGAUGAGUUCU